UUAUUACAAAACCGGAUACAAUAUUGUUGCUUGUACUAACUGUCUCCUGCUUCUGCUCAUCUCCAUCUCUCCCUAUUGGUUGAUGCAUCCAGAGGGAGAAUAUGUCUUCUCAUUGGGAUUCUGGACCAAAUGCUAUGAACACAAGUGUUACAUUAUUACAGAUAGUACAACCAUUCUGACUGUGGCCCGGACACUGGUGAUAAAUGCCAUUAUCUGUUCCUUAACUGAAUUGAUUCUAUCACGGAAUUUUUUUAUUCACUGCCUGAAAAUAAAUAUAUCAGAAGACCUGCCUCCUUCUAUAGCUCACUUCAUCACAGGUAUCUCUAGCUUUUUCUGGACUAGGUUCAUAAAAGUGUAACCCCUUGGUAUUGAAGCUAAGGCAGAAGAGAACAAAUACUCCAGUAUUUCUUCAGCCAGAUCUUCCAUGUAAUCUGUGCGCCCAAUUCAUAGUCACAAGGAUUUA